rfam:TPA: Bos taurus chromosome 15, whole genome shotgun sequence.
UUCCCGGUGGUCUAGUGGUUGAGGCUCAGUGCUUUCACUGCCGGGGCCCAGGUUCAAUCCCUGGUCAGGGAA